rnacentral:snoRNA from 1 species
AAGCCAGCCAAUUGGUCUGCUUAUAUGAAUGUGCUUCUGCAAAUAUGCAUAUAGAGCAGGCAAUAGUGAUGCCAUAAUGCCAUGUUAUGAGCCUUAAGGACAGUUGAGGUCGAUAAGGUCCCUGAAAAUGGCUACAAUA